AGGGCCCGAGGCAGGGGGCGCCCGGGUCCCAGGGCCUUGGGGAAGGACCCCAAGCCACAUGCCGGCCCCAAGUGCAAAGCAUUGACACGUUCCGGAGAGGAGAGGGGGCGCCCUUUCCCUCCCGCGCCCGGAGGCCCGGCCGCUCUGGCCUGCGCCCCUGCCUGGCCUCCCACCCCACUCCCGGUCACCGCCCCGGGUCCAUGCACUUCGGAGGGAGGCUGCGGGCACUGGAAAGCGAGGCCGGUGGGCGGGCAAGUCAGGAGGCUCGGGCGACCGAGGUCCGGGAGCCGAACUCAGGUAGCCGGAGCUGUUUGAGGAAGAAAAUGGAACCCUAUUGCUGGAGAAGAAAAAGGGGAUGGAGCUACGGUUUUGACCUGUGGGAUUCAUCCAGGAUUGAAGUUUGUUGAAAAGCUGCUGUGGAAAGAUUCUAGCCACCAGAGAGAAAGACCACACACCAAACACAGAAUCUGGAAUAGACAAUGCUCCUUGAGACACGCACCCUAUGGAAUAGACAAUGCUCCUUAAGACAUGUGCCCUUCCAGAGACAUCAGCAGCACUGCAUGCCUGCAAUCCCUGUACUUGAGUGGUGGAAGCCAGAGGAUCACUAUGCCUUCCAGGCCUGUCUGGACUACAUAGCAAAAUCCUGCCAGCCAAAAAGACAAAGAAGGGGCGGGCAGAGACAACAUCAACUUUUUGUAACCAGGGAGAAAAUUGUCGAAGAGAAAAGUGGCUUGAAAACAGAUCAGGAAGCUGCUGAAGCAUGUGAAGAGGGCCUGGACCUGCUCAGUGGCCUCCCUGGCAGUGCCUGCACAAGGCCUGACUCAGUAGGGGGCAGGACUUUGUCUCCUAUGCACAGCUUUGGUUCCUGACAAUUGGCGCAAAGAAAGCAAGGAAGAAAUCAAGGCUGCUACCCUGAAGAACAGAAGAAGCACCAUGAUGGUGGACCCAAAUAUUUAACAUUUGAAGAAAAGUCUUAUGGAGAAGGAAACAGUUGAUUUCUGGUGGCCCGAGUCAACGGGAAGCGUAAGGAGACGAUGAACAGGUGUAUUUCAGGUCUGUAGACACUGGACUAGGAGACAGAGCUGAACACAGAGGCCAAGCUUUUGGGCACUUCAGACAGUGUUCUCUACAAACUUCCCCCUGGUUUUUCAAUUACACUAAAAUGACCCAUCAGUCAAAAGUGCUUGCUUCUCCAAGGGAAUACAAAUGCUCUGUGAAUUACAUCACCUCUUCCUGCCAAUCAGGAGAGAAGUCUGAGCUCACAACAUCUGCAAUGGACCAGCACCACUCAUCCUUACCACUGGCCUCUAUAGACCUUCUAAGUCAGUCUCUGACUUCCAUGUGAAUCAUGGCACCUAUACCACUGCUAGUUACCUCCUCAACCAACCUGACAAUGGCCAAGAAAGUGUGACACUCAGGUGCAAGACUAAGCUUGGCCUCACCUGGUGAGAUGCUUAUUGGGUAAAGGCACUUCUGGCAAGCCUGAUGACCUCAGUUCAAUCUGUGGGACUUGCCUGGUGGAAAGAGAAAACUGACUCCUACAAGUUGUCCUCUGACCUCUUCACACAAUGUGUUAUGGCGCAUAUGCUUGUGAGCAGGCACACCUACACACAUAUAUGUAAUGAAUAAAAUGUAAUACAAAUUAAAAUAAACUUGUCCUUGAAGCUCA